GAUGAACGCUGGCGGCGUGCCUAAUACAUGCCAGUCGAGCGAACGGACGAGAAGCUUGCUUCUCUGAUGUUAGCGGCGGACGGGUGAGUAACACGUGGAUAACCUACCUAUAAGACUGGGAUAACUUCGGGAAACCGGAGCUAAUACCGGAUAAUAUUUUGAACCGCAUGGUUCAAAAGUGAAAGACGGUCUUGCUGUCACUUAUAGAUGGAUCCGCGCUGCAUUAGCUAGUUGGUAAGGUAACGGCUUACCAAGGCAACGAUGCAUAGCCGACCUAAGAGGGUGAUCGGCCACACUGGAACUGAGACACGGUCCAGACUCCUACGGGAGGCAGCAGUAGGGAAUCUUCCGCAAUGGGCGAAAGCCUGACGGAGCAACGCCGCGUGAGUGAUGAAGGUCUUCGGAUCGUAAAACUCUGUUAUUAGGGAAGAACAUAUGUGUAAGUAACUGUGCACAUCUUGACGGUACCUAAUCAGAAAGCCACGGCUAACUACGUG
rnacentral:rRNA from 1 species